rnacentral:lncRNA from 1 species
ACUUUUUUCUCCUACCUCUUUAUCCCCCUUUCCGUCCUCCCACCCUUUCACCCACCUCGGAAGGAAAGAAGAAAAGGGGAGAGGGAAAGAAGAUCGGGAGGGGUUAGGUGGUCCUAGGAAAAAGAGGAAAAAGGGGGGAGGUGGUUUCGAGAAAGAAGGCUAGGAUGGUUAGAGAAAGAGGAGAUAGUUCGGAUAGAGUUUGGUGGUUGCGGGUGGAAACGAACGGCGAUGCCAAUGUCGGAGUCCCGGAGGCUGGGGGUUUGGAUACAUAACUACAACUCCGGCAACAAGAACGAAGCAAAGUUAGCAAGAAUACUGGACCCAUCGCAAGACCGGUUUGGUAAGAAUCAACCGAUCGUUCAGAAGCUUGAACGUUGAAGGUGCCGCCGAAAAACAUGACGACGAAAACGAAUUUCUAAAGGUUCGAUUAAACGAUCUCUCAAUAUAAAAAGAUAACUUUAACCUGAUAAAUUCAUUAAAUAAAGAGGUACUGUAAAAAAAGAAAGAGGUAGUUUGGUAGGUAGGUAGGUAGGUAAGGUAGGUAUAACGGAUGCAAUAAAAAAAAAGAGACUCGGUUUCGUUUCUACGCGUCCGUCCUGUUCUUCAACGAUAACACGAGAGGAGCACAAUGGACACGAAGAUGCAGGACCUCUACCAAACAGGUUGUAAGAGAAUGGAUUACGUGAAUCACGCUCGUAUCGCGUGCAAUGCAACGGGAGCACCUGUACGCACACGUUUAUACAAAGUAUCUACAUACGAAUACUGAAAGGAAACAGAGAGUCACGUAGAAGAAAUUAAAAUUACAUGGACUUUCACAUCUCCUUCGUUGAGACGACAUUGUCUGCUUUUUACCAACCCUUGAUUAUGUACGAUAAAUGAAAGACAAACAUAGUCGUGAGGACUAUGUAUUGACUACUACGUAUUGACUAUGUCAAUGAAUAACGAGAUAGAUACACACUUCGAGCUUAAGUUUCGAGAGCUUGGCAAUUUCAAGCAUCGUUGCGUGUCGAGUAACCAUAACGCUUAUACCAACGCGAUUAGUAUUAUUCGAAGGAUUAGUAGAAGUAGAUUCCGAUAUCCAUAUAGGUGCUCGAAUUAGCUCAGAGUCAUAUCUAUUUUCGAUUUCUCGGCUCACCCCACCUACCUAACUGAAGCUCAACAACUCGAAUCGGUCGAUGAAGUUCGCAAGGGAAUUCUUGGUGCCGGGGAUAAAUAUCAAAUUUGUGGGAGACGAAACGAGUAACGACGGAUACGGAAAAGCUAGCGUUAAGUGCACACAGACGUCUCAAGUGACUAAAGUAAAAGACGACGAUUUAAUCGACUUAAGAAACGAAUCGGCAUGCAGACUUGGGCCACGUAAAUACUAUGAAUCACAUAAAUCGAGGUCUCUCAUCGUAGAUUCAAAGCUUGGAGCGUUGGGUUACGCCGAUCGUUUCUAGCUGGAGGAAAUAGUCAGAACUGAAGAAGUAUAGCUAAAGAAAAGCCUGCGAGACAUAUUGGUGAGAGUCACCACCGGAAACUGACGGGAAACUGAUCAAGUACCCGAUCCUCUCUCCUAGCACGAUAUUCCACCUGGGGAACCUGAAAAGGGGGUUGGAUGCUUUGCCCGCCUUUGGGUCAAAUGAAAGACCCUCGCGAACAACGCUCUAGUGGGACCUGCAACCCCCUCCCCUUUUAUGUAGUUUAAGUGACGUCGUUUUUUAUUCAAGGGGGCAGAGAAUAGAGGGGGAAAGAGGAGAGCAAGAAGAGGACGGAAGGUCAAAGAGAGAGAAAGAGAAAGAAAGGCUUCAAUGCUCGAUUGUCGAAGAAGCAUUGUAUAAAUGGUGGCGUCUGGUGAUUCUAAGAGUAAAGGAGAAAGAGGUAAAAUGGAAAAA